GAAAGGGAAGGGGAGAGAGAACGACAGAAGAAAGGGAAGGGGGAGAGAGAACGACAGAAGAAAGGGAAGGGGGAGAGAAUGACAGAGGAAAGAGAAGAGAGAGAGAAUGACAGAGGAAAGGGAAGGGGGAGAGAGAGAACGACAGGAAAAAGGGAAGGGGGAGAGAGAAUGACAGAGGAAAGAGAAGAGAGAGAGAAUGACAGAGGAAAGGGAAGGGGGAGAGAGAGAACGACAGGAAGUGGGAGAGAGAACAUCAGAGUAAAGGGAAGGGGGAGAGAGA
ensembl:lncRNA